UCUUCGCUUUUCGUUGUGUACCUGGGCAGUUCAUUUCGGAGUCUGGGCUGCCUUGUUUGCACUCGGCCCACUCUUUAUCCACUGUGCCACCUAGCUGCCCAAGGAAGAUAGCUAAGAGGACAGAAGUCGCUAGGAGAAGGAGAAGCUGAGAAUGGAAGAAGAAUUUGACCUGGAAGGAGAAUACUGACUUUUGGGUUUUGCUUUGUGGUCUGCAUCUUUUCCUCUCCCUUCCAUGCCCAGAAGUCAAGGCUUAAGGGAACAUGAAAUAAACAUGUGAAGGACUGAAGAUUUCAUCUGUUUGAGGUACUCUCCAGUCUGGGAAACUGAGAAUUCCUCCUAGACUGACUUCUGUCCACCUGUGCAUUUCUUGUAAAUAAGUUUCUGGAGUUUUAUUCUCUGAUCCAUUCAUCUGCUGUCUUUGAUUUUUAUUGAAUUGUUAUCCCAUUCACAUAAAAAGUUACAAAAUUAGGAGUUUCAAUUCAUGAAGGAAAUAACACGGGCAGAAGCAGCAGCUGAUGUUGGAAAAUGCCCUGAAACACAAGCCUUCUGUCUGCAAGACCGCUUCCCCUAACACUUCCGUGUCCUGCCAUUUAGGACCAAGCAGAACAGGAUCCUCUUCCAUAGGACAGCCCUUCACCUACUUGAAGCCGACUAACAAAUACUGACCCUCUCCCACAUCUUCCCUUCUCCAGGCUUAUGUAUUCCCAUUUCCUCAACCAAUCUUUAUAGAAUAAAGUUCAAAUUUAUUGAAGUUUUGAUGAACAAAGGAGAGGGAAGCUUUAAGUAUCCAGAAUUUUCUCUCAAAUGGAACAGCUCAGUCCCUAGUGAUACUGGACAAAUAUGGAGGUAUUGCAGUUGAGCAUUGCUCACUUUUUGGUGGAUUUUGCCUAUUGUCACAAUUAUUAUUCUCAAUAUUGUCCAUCUCUCUGUCUGUGUAUUUUAUAUGUGUGAGGGGCAGACUAUAAAAGUGGCUUCAAUUUUAUUAGCCAUAGGUCUCACCCUAAGGAGAGAACAGAGUGAGAGAGGUCUCCCUCCUCUCUGAGGGUGCUGAGGGGAAAUGUGCUUUUAUCUUGAUCAAAUCUGCUUAAACUAGCCAUUAAUAAUAAGGCAGAAAGGAAAUCAUCACCUCUCCACCCCCUCAUCCCCCAUUCAAGCUUUCUCUUCCCUUUGCCUUUUAAACAAAAUCUCACCUUGAGCAGAGAGAUAAUAAUGUUGAAUGAAUGAUCAUCUACUCUGAGGGGUCACUCUCCAUACCCACUUUUCCUCACUAGGAUAUUUCUGCUAAGUAUAUGAAUUUGCAAGAUAUUUUCCAGCCAGGACCCAGAGCUUGCUAAUUGUUCAUAGCUUUAAAAACAGAAACCCUCACUAAAGGGAGCCUCCUGGACAUUACAGCUGUGCAUCUGGGACAACUUUGCAUGCACCAAAUGGACAAAGGACCUGAGGGGCCCCUACUUGAAGAUGGCAAGAGAGAUGCUUGUCCAUCUCUGGGCACAUCCACAACCAAAUGUCUUCAUUUAACCCCAAGGUCAAGAUAACCCAUUUUUAUCAUCUCCAUAGGUCUCUAAAGAUGGGUUUUUAGCGAAAGCCUUGUUUGCUUCUUAUAGCAUUAAGUCAGACAAAAGGAACUGCCUUGAAGAUGAUCAUUUCACCAAGCCCUGUUGCUCUGUGGGGAAUAUUUGUUUCCUCAUUUAUAUUCAUGUCUUUAAAAGACAAGUAGACCUUGGAUGAAAUUUCAGGCGACAGUAAAUUAUAAAUAAUGUAUCUAUAUUUUUUCCCCUUCCGUACUACUUGUAUAUAAUUCCCCCCUGAGUCUUGUGCAAACACCGGAGACAACAGGACAGGCAGCUAUUAACAUGAUGGAAGGAAUGAAAUAGUUGUACAUUGUAUGGCUGGAAAAUAGAAAGGGGAGACAUCUUGAUCAAAAGAAGUUUUUGUAACAUGUUUCCCCCCCCCCCCUUUUUCUUCUUGGAGAAAAUCCCAGAUUUCUUAAAUCAGCCACAAAGAGUGUGCUUAAAACAACUGUCUUAUCUUUUUUUUUUCCUGCCAGGUGAUGGAUCCUUCUCUCUCUUGGGGGUCCAAUUUUAGGCUCUUUUUCUGUGUCAGUAUUUUGGAAGGCGUUAGGUUGUGCAGGCGAUCUCCAUUAAAAUCAACGAGUACUCAGCAACUCCAUUACCCGCCACUCAAAAAUUUUUGACCUUCUUUACCACCUAGACCCAUAUUUCCUAGGCAACAAAAGAUCACCACUUGUUCGAUGCUGGCUCUAGGCGAUGUGGCUAAAGAAGGCGAUAACUUCCCAGGCUUUGCCCUUUUCUGUCCUUUCCCUUUCUUGAUGUUUUCCCAAGCCUUGCCUCAGGGACUCAGUGCUUUUAUGUUCUCCUUCUUUGACCUCCAUCAAAACCCAGUCUCAGAAAAAAUAUUUGAAACUCAUUCACACUAUGAUGUAAAUGACAAUCACUUACAGUACAGUUUUUUUGUACUGAGGGCAAGCAGCAGGAAAUGUGCACUCUGCAGAGUGGUGGUGGGGCUGUGGUGACCCCAAGACACUAAGAUGUAACUGCUGAGGUGGAGAAGGGACAACACAGAGCAGGGCUGGGGAGGAGCUUAUCUGGGGAUAUGGCUGCCAAAGAAGGAAACCUACUUCUCGCUAUUAAGCUCUAGGGGUUGUUGUUGUUGUUUUCCACUGAAAGACUCUUAAGUGAUAUCAGCACUGUCUAAAUCUCAAUACCCUAAAUUUCCUAAUCACCCCAUCCUAGUUAUAGCCCUGCCUCAGAUAUUAGUAUGUUUGCACAUGGUGAGGGCCUAGGCUUCACCCCAGAAGGAGCAGCUAAGUGGUUCCUGACUUUUAUUUUAGCUGGCAGGUUGCAGACUCUCUCUGGAUGCAAGAUGUCACCAAAAGACAGAAACGUUCUGUGAUAUUAUCAUAAUGCUCAUGACAACUAGCUGUAGCAUUACCAAGACAUGAAUUAAAGGCUCAUACUGUAUAGAGCUAGCAAUGAAAUUUGUGCAUUUUUUGGGGCUGAAAUUAUAAGUUUGUGUCUAAUAAAUAUGCAGAUAGAGUUUCUUUCAA